UUGGGCAACCAAACACUAAUCUUGGUACUCUAGUAUGAAUGGAACAGGGAGAAACCUGAAGAUGCCAUAAAUAGAAUUGGCAGUCAAACAGCCUACAUUUCCUGUGAAAAUUGCUCUUUAUGUGAAUGUUGGUUUCCCCACACCUGUUUUGCAUUGCUAACAUUUUUCUGGAAGUUUUUCUUUAAAUUUGUUUGCUGAAGUUUAAUCAGCUGAACUUCUCAACUGACUCAGCAAGGUGGGCACAGGAUCUUGAAGCAGCGUGGGCCUCCUGACACACGCAGUGUGCCAGUGGUGCUCCCAAACCUGUGGUGCACGGAUUACUGCCCUGAGCUGCAGGAUACUGUGCUUCUACCUCACUAGAGGUCACAGACAUAGCUGCUUUGAGAUGGAAUAAAGCAAUGCAUGUCCUUGUAAGCUGAGAUCAAGACUGUCCCACAGAGCAAACUAUGAUAAAUGUUUUGGAAAAGAUGCAUAUUCCAGAAGGAUAAGAAGCACUCUUAGUAUUGAGCUUGCUGCUUAAGACUGCAAAAAUCAGGAAAUGUUAUUAGAUGUUCAAUAACAAAGAAUAAAGCUAAUUAUCUACCA